rnacentral:tRNA from 1 species
AGAAAUUUAGGCUCACAUUAAACCGGGGGCCUUCAAAGCCCAAAUCAGGGCCAGCACAGCCCUAAUUUCUG